rnacentral:misc_RNA from 1 species
CGCCUCCGCGCAGCAAAGGCCCGAAGCCCGGCAAGAAAGCCGACCGCCAGACUUGGCCCGAUGUCGAGAGGCCGACGUUCAACAAGAAGCCGAAGAAAAAGAAGNGCGUAAAACUUAACGCCUGGCGAUCAUCCGCCUCGCGCAUCACUGACGGGCUCGUCCGGGAAGCCCGUCAGGUUAAAGCGUCACGCUCGCUGAGAGUUUCACGAAUGCGCA